GGAGUGGCAAGUGAAGAAGUCUUUAUUGAUACAGAGGGAAGCUUUAGGGUUGACAGAGUGGUAGAGCUUGCUAGUUCCUGCAUUCAGAAUAUUCACUUAUAGCAGGAACACACAUGGGAGAAGAACACCAAAGAGCAAGUUCGAUUAGUGAUAAUAGAUGGCAUCGAUUUCCUUUUCGUCAUGACCUUGAUGACCUAUCCCUUUGAACUUGAUUACUAACCCAGCAAAAUGAUCAGCCUUGCAAAUAAUCACAGAUUAGCUGUAAUUUUUACCAAUCAAAUGACAACAAAGAUUGAUAAAAAAAAAAAAAACAACCUUGCUGGUUCCUGCAUUAGGGGAGAGUUGGGGACAUGCUGUUACAAUAUGGCUAAUUUUUCAGUGGGACAGAAAGCAAAGGUUGGCAACAUUGUACAAAUCACCAAGCCAAAAGGAAUCCACAGUACUGUUUCAGAUCACACACCUCAGGGAUUUGGAGAUGCUGUUCCCACAGAAGGUUCACUGAAUAUCCAGAAAAGGUCAUGAAAACCAGAGGAAGAACAGUAACCCCAAAACAAAUCU
rnacentral:lncRNA from 1 species